rnacentral:tRNA from 1 species
GGGGAUGUAGCUCAGUGGUAGAGCAUCUGCUUUGCACGCAGAAAGUCGGGGGUUCAAUUCCCUUCAUCUCCACCA